CUGUACCUGAAUUCACACUAACAGGUGACUCAUGGCAGCCCUUGGUGUCAAAGGAGGGGCUGGCCACAGAAAAAACAGCGGGGGUGGGGGGUGGGGGGUGGGGAAUGGAGGGUUGGAACUUUCAGCCCCACCUCUGCCUCUCCGGGGAGCUGCAGACUGGAUGGCCAACAUGUUAGUCGGCCCAGUCAUGCCCAGGAGAUAAAACUCCGUGGAGAUUUCUGGUUGGUGAACACAUAGAUGUGUCAGGGGUGCUGUGCCUGGAUUCCACCAGGGGGAGGGAACGGGAGCUCUGUGCGCCCCUCCCCACCCCAGACCUCACCCCUAUCCGUCUCUGUCCCUAGCUGCUCUUGAGUUGUGUCCUUCAGAAUAAAAGGGUCAGCAGAAAUAGAGUCACUGCAGUGAGUUCUCAGAGUCAUUCAGUGAAUGAUCAACUCUGAAGGGGGGCCGUCAGGUUUAAAGCCAAGUCAGAAGUCUGGGUAGCCUGGGGACCCCACUUGUGUCUGGCAUCUGAAGUAAGGGCAGUCUCGUUGGGGACCCUGCUCUUUAACCUACGGGGUCUGCACUCACUCCAGGUACUUCGUGUCAGAACCGGGCUGAAUUGUAGGACCCCCGCGGGCGCUGCAGAAUUGUUGCCAAAGCAGUGAGUGAGUGAGUGAGUAUGUACGUGGGGGGGUGGUGAGUGUGGAAUGAGUGGACUCCGGGCUGCCCCAGGGCCUCUUGCCUGGAGCUCUGGGGAACAGGGCACGGGAAGGAAGGCCAGUGUUUUCCAAACUGUGGCUCAUGACCCGUGAGUGCAAAUGCCACCAACUAUUUUUAUUUUUUCAAGUAAAAGAGAAGAGAAGACAAUCAGGAUGCCUAUAAGAAGGAUGAACGCGGUCAGAGAGUGAGAGAGAGAGAGCGAGAGACCUACAAAGGGCCAGGGCCGUAGCCCCAACAUAUAUUUCUCCCUCUACUGGCAUCGCCUUCUUCUUGGACUAUUGUGACCCCACGCUGAGCUCUCUCUUGGUUGACUGCCAUGACAAAGCACGGGUGCCAGCCUCAAAUGGGACCUCCUCGUGCCCUGCAAGCUCCCUGGCUCUUUCACACCCAGCAAGGACUUAUUUCUAGAUUUCUCCACUCUGCUCACACAUCAGCCCUGUGCUCCACCCCCAUGUUUACGGAAAGGAAGAAGAUAACUUCUCCAGCUGGGAGGAGAGUCAGUCUGUCACAAUCUGUAUUUUUCUUGGGCCCCCGGAAGGCCCUGAGCAGCCAGACAUGAGCUCGGUGGCCCUGGGUGAUUCUGUGGCUCCCCUGAGCCUCAGUGUUCUGAUCUGAUCUGUAAAUGCGGAGAAUAACACCAGACUACCCAGCAGAAACAAAAAAAGAGCCAAAGCCCCGCCCCUCCGUAUUGGAAGCCGCGGAGAUAUUGCACAGGGAAGCACCCAGUGGGACAGUCGGGUCUCCACAGAUGCUCACUAAGGAUUCAUUCUCCGUUUGCAACCCCCCCCCUCCCCCCCCAGCAGGGUUUUGGUCUUCUGUCUCCCGGUCUCGGGCUCCACCUAGAACUGAGGAUAAGUCUGCCACACGUGUUUACUGUGCAAAGGAACCAGGAGGUGCUUCCCUGAGAGCGUGGUUCAGUCGACGGUGAGGAGCCAGAAGCUGAAACCGCGGCUGACGUCUGUGCUCUGUGCCACGUUCGUCCCUUACAUUUGGCCUCACUCGUUCUCCCCACAGCCCUGUGGAGUAGGUACUGUUGCCAUCCUCUUUGACGGGUGAAGACUCAGGCUACAGAGAGGAAAAACAAACCCGAGGCCACGCAGAUGCGAAGGGCAGGAGGAAGACGCAGACCAAGGUGUCGCCAGGAGCGGCUCACUUAUUUAUAGCCCUCCUGCCUGUGUCAUCUGCUUUUUGAGGGGCAGGGGCGUGGGCAGGGGUGGAAAGUCCCCCAGGCUGGACUCUGACAAGUCCCCAGUUCUGAAUGCCCAACACCCACCGUUUCUGCAUGGCCACAAAGCCUCACAUGGCACUUCCCUCUACCAUGGCCAAGUCCUGGGGCUCUUAUCUGAAAAGCCAAGACUCGGCAGAGUCCGGCCAAAGUCAGCGUCGGGAGGAAGACCAUCGGUGCGAGCUGUCUGUGAACCCCUCACCCCCAGCCUCACGACUGGUGACCACGACUUCUACUCUAAGGAGGUAUUGCCCACAAUGGUUGCUGCAGGUGAGUACGUAGGAGGCCGCAGUGCUGGAUGGGCCCCUCAGAGCUCGUUCUCCCACACCUUUGGGGGGUCCUGUGUGCAAAUUCUCCAAGCCCCCUUCACUUCUCGUUCUGCCCCCGCUGCAGCUAGCUUUUUAGAGCUACAGUGGGACCCAGAUCCCAGCUCUGCUACUCACUAGCUAUUGGAUCCACGGGCAAGUUCCUUUCCUCUUCUGAGCAUGAGAAUGAUAACAUCCACCUUUCGGGGCUGCCGUUGAGAAUUGCUGAUGACGUACAUAAAACACCUGACACCCGGUAUGCACUUAAUAAGUAAAUAGUGCUAAUAAUCUUUAUUAUUAUAGUAGACUGCUACCAUUUACUGAGCACUAAACCACAUGCUAAGAUUGUUACAGGCAUAAUCUCAUUUGAUAAAUAAAUAAAUAUUUGAGGGGUGCCUGGGUGGCUCAGUCAGUUAAGCAUCUGACUCUUAAUCUUGGCUCACAUCGUGAUCUCUUGGUUCAUGAGAUCCAGUCCUGCAUCAGGCUCUGCACUGACAGUGAGGAGCCUGCUUGGGAUUCUCUCCCUCCCCACCUCUCUCUCUGCCCCUCCCCUGCUCGUGCACUGCCCCCCCCC